ACUAAGCAGACAUGGCUAAUUUUAGCGUCUUGUGCACUAAACAUUCUUAAAUGUCACUGGAUUCAUACAAGCAGAGAAGGCCAUAGAUUUAGAUGAUUCAACUGUAGACAACUCAUAUUGGAAUUUUGUCAACUGAUUUUUGCACUCAUAUUUUCUGUUAAUGUCUGUUGAUGUCUGUACUAAACUGACAAAGGUUUUAGUUUACAUUGAACUAGUUUUAGAAAAAUUGUAAACUGGUUAUGAAGAAAUACUUCAGAAGAUAUUUUCACUUGCUUAAGGUAACUUGAAGACCAUCAAAGGUAUUCCAACAACUCCAACUUGUGGCCAUUUAAAAAUAUUGUUUUUAUUUUACAUGUAGAUUAGAGUAGGAGUCCAGUACUUUUAGUUGAGAUUUAAAGUCAGACAAAGUAUGGAGUUUUUUAAGUUCACUACUUCCACCCAUAAAGAUUUGUCCAUUUGAGCAGGAAACAGCCUUUCCCUAGCAGGUGCCUGUGAGCCCGUUCGGAACCCACUGACUCAGUGUUGAAACAAUUUAACAGGUCGCUGAAACAAUGUGGCACUUGGCAAGAAUGCAUCCACUCACUGAGUCACUCCCUUCCAUUGUUUUUGCUCUGGACUUCCUAUUUCAGUGUGUGUAACCAGUGGCUACCGUAUAACAGCUUCCCACGCACCAUGGUAUCAAGUUCCAGUGCAAUUUAACAGGCUACGAGUUGGUUGUUUUACCAUCCAGACUGGACUCUCAGGUUUGACGGGUGGACAGUUCCAAUGUCUGCUGGUGCUUAAUGAUCCUCACCUUGACAAGUCUUCUGAUGGAGCCAAUGGUGAUGGCAGUGGGCUUGUCCUGGGUGGUGUGCUGUCCUGGCUGGUGGGUGAGCACAGUCUCACCCUCCUCCAGAACAACCCCAGGCCCCGUAAAGCCAGGCUCCAGCGCAACAUAGUUUGUGAAUGCCAGCCACCAACUGCUGAAAGCACACGCAAACAGUGCUGGGCCGCUGCCAUGGAAACCUGGCCUCACCUUCCUCUCCUUGGUGAUGAGGCUUGGGAUUCAAAGACCCCUGUCUCUCUCUCUCCCUCUCUCUCACACACACACAAACACAACACACACACUUCAAGUCUAUUUUCCACAGAGAUAGGUACACGUACACACACCCACACAACAGUUGCAAUGAUGAUUCAUAAGUGUUCCAGGAGAUGACACUUUGGCACUGUACUGGCGCAAAUGGAAAUCAAUCCUGCUCUCUCACUUUACAUUUUCCUUUGGCUGAAAUAUUCAGAGAGGCUUAAUACUCAUGCCCCUAAACUACACGUCCGCGGAACACAACAGGAGGCGGGGGGAGCACCAGCAGAAGCCUUCUGUCAUGCCAUAACGUGGCUACAGAGCUACCUUUUAACUUUCAGAGAGCUUGCAUAGAGUAAACAAACACUGAGGGAUUCUACAAUUACACCGGGAUAAUGUGUGCACAGCAAAUAUUUACAUAAGCAUCUGGUUUGUGCAUACAAGCGGGCAAGUGGUACACAGAAAUAAAAAAAGUAUUUUAUCAUUGAUUUCUUUGUAUUAAUCAAGAGAAGUCCGUCUAAAUGGACUCGGACAGACAGAAUUAUUGUAACAACAUGGAUGCCUCUUUCCCCCCGGUUCUAUUGUGCAAUGAGAGACAAAGAUCAAUACCUUCUAACAGGAUAGGUCUGGAGAUAAGUCUGGAGGCCUCACAGGAGGACAUUCACAAUAGGCAUUCAAAUAGAUUUUUGGCUCCUGCACAAGCAGACUCAAAUAUAAGCAAGAGCAGUUUGACAGUUUAAGGAAAAACUUGAGAAACAACUGUGUCCAGGCAGCUUCCCCUUAGUUUUAGAAGUGAACAAAAGAGGGGUGGUUUCAGUUGUUAGCAUAAUAAGUUUAUGGGCAAAGAGGAGACGGUCACAAUAUUGUGGCAAAGAGGUUAAUUUCCUUUCUAUGCUGGCUUCUGUGGACAGUGGAGAGAUUUAUAACCAGGUGGUCGGGGACGGUCUUGUUUUCCUUUCCUACUUUUGGGCUUGGGAAUGUCACACUGCGGUAAAUAAUUCUGUUCUGCCGUGUUUCUUCAUCUGUGUGUGUGUACUCGUGUGUCAGUGAUAUCCGCCAUUGUACAAAAAAGAGAGGCACAUCCAUAAAGCAUGAGAUAUUGCAUAAGGCCUCUUUAUAAACCUUAACUGGAGUUAGCCUGCAAUAGUGUAAAUCGUUCCACAGAAAAACAUGCAGGGGGGAACAGGUUAGCAAGAGGGUUUCUUUUUAUCCAUUAAAUAUGAGAACAAGUUUACGGCAUUGUCACAACACCUAAGCCCUCUAUGGUGAAUUUGACAACUACCAUAACAACUACCAUAUUUUUCGGAAAUAAAGCAGCGGUUUAUACCCUGAUUUUACAUUUUUCUUGUGGUGGUGAGGCUUAUAUUUUGAAGCGGUUAUAGAAAGUUUUUAUAACAAAACAGGCUUCAAAAUAUACUAAUGAAAAGGCUAACAAGUAAUACUAGCAUGGUAGUAGCAUUGCUACAAGUAUUAUGCUAGCUAACUUAGCCCGGAAGCUAACUAAAGCUAGCUAACUACCGAUUCGUAAAAAUAACUUACGCUUGGGGACCGUCUGAAAUAUUUAGAACUCAUAAUAAUAAGACUAUUUAUAUAGCACAUUUCAUACAAGAAUUGCAAAGCAUGAAUUAAUUAAAACAUGGUUCUAUUAUGUGUUGAGUUAGAUCGAGACUGUC